UAAUCUGAUGUAUAGGAAAAGGACUUGAACUUGUGUCUUCUACAUCCCAAGUGAAUGCCCUAACCCCUGAGCUGCAAAGACUUUCUCACACUUCAGCUGACCCAGUAACUAAUUAUUUACACAAAGAGGAGCAGCUUCAACAGGAGAGAUUGUGUCCCACUGGCAUACCCCACAGCCCAACAACUAGUGCACACUCCAGAGAGGUAUUGGAAAGAGUUGGGAUAGAAUGUCACCGAUCAUACCAGCAUUGUCUCCUUCCCCAUUCAAUGACCGGUCAAACUCCUCUGCAGACAGAUGACCUGUUAUCCUUCCCCAAGAUACACCAGCAUCAUUUCCAUGAGUUGAUGGUGGCUGGCAAGAGCAGGUGGGUGGUUUCUAAAUGCUCUUCUUGAUAGAUGUUAUUCUACUUGACCCUUUUGAAGAGGAAAUGGUGAAGAGGAAACACUCUGAAACCGUUUCAU